UGAUGAUGAUGACGGUGACGAUGACGAUGAUGAUAACGUAUCGCGAGCGUAUUUAUAUAUAGCGAAAGAAAUAAGCGAGAAAAAUGAUAGACGAUUGUUAUUAGAUGGGAAGCGAAAGUCUGUGAGAAUUAGAAAUAAAGAAAAUAUAGAAGCGCAACGCGAUUAGGAUUUUUACGCCCGUCGCGUUCGACAGCUCGGAGCAAAGUGAGCUGUGGUGCCUCGACGGCUCGUCGAUGAUGUUACUGCUCGAUGCUCGGCAAUGUUCGGCUAUGUUCGUUUGCUCGACAACGACGACGACGACGACGACGACGACGAGAAUGACGACGACGACACAAGCUCGCUUCUCUCCGUCGCGCUACCAAAGAGUACACGCGUAUUUUCCGUCCAAGAACUUCGUAUGCGCAUGCGCUGGUCUCACUUAAAAAAAUACAAAAAUAAAAAAAACAGUGGUGCUCGGACUUCGAAAUUUCGAACCUGCCGUUCAUUCGAUCGCACGAUAAAGGAUUUCUUCCUCAUAGGAUUCUUUUCCAAGUAUAGAUGCGCACCGGCGAAGCCGACGCCGACGCCGACGCCGACGCCGACAGCGGCGCCGCCAAACGACUCCGUCACCGUUCGUUUACAGAAAUACACCCACGAGGAAAACGAACGUGGUAUUCCCAGAUGAGUAUGUACAAUUUUAAAGCUCGCCUCAAGAGAGCCUCGAUUUAUAUUCGAUAAAGUGGAACGUGAUCUAAUACUAUUUUGAAUUUUCGAAAAACCAUUGUCAGCGAAUACGAGAAUGUCUGAAGAUUUAUUAUCUAAAUGAUGAUAAUAUUUUUUCUUCCAUGAGAGAAAAUAAGAAGAUGAAGCUGUAAUAACUUCCAUUUUUGUUCUAAGUACAUGUUGUAACAUGAUACAAUUUUGAAUUUUCGAUAAAUCAUUGUGACAACGAAUAUGAUAAUGUGAAAAGAUUUAUUUACGAUAGGUAAAUGACGAUAAGUAUAUAG